AGAGUUUGAUCCUGGCUCAGAUUGAACGCUGGCGGUAUGCUUAACACAUGCAAGUCGAACGGAAACGAUGGUAGCUUGCUACCAGGCGUCGAGUGGCGGACGGGUGAGUAACGCGUAGGAAUCUGCCUGAUAGUGGGGGAUAGCCCAGAGAAAUCUGGAUUAAUACCGCAUAAUCCCUAUGGAGUAAAGGAGCCCUCUUCUUGAAAGGUUUCGCUAUCAGAUGAGCCUGCGUAAGAUUAGCUUGUUGGUGAGGUAAAAGCUCACCAAGGCGACGAUCUUUAGCUGGUCUGAGAGGAUGAUCAGCCACACUGGAACUGAGACACGGUCCAGACUCCUACGGGAGGCAGCAGUGGGGAAUAUUGGACAAUGGGCGCAAGCCUGAUCCAGCAAUACCGCGUGUGUGAAGAAGGCCUGAGGGUUGUAAAGCACUUUCAAUUGUGAAGAAAAGCUAAUGGCUAAUACCCAUUAGCCUUGACGUUAACUUUAGAAGAAGCACCGGCUAACUCCGUGCCAGCAGC
rnacentral:rRNA from 1 species